rnacentral:rRNA from 1 species
GCCUACGGGGGGCAGCAGUGGGGAAUAUUGCACAAUGGGGGAAACCCUGAUGCAGCGACGCCGCGUGAGCGAAGAAGUAUUUCGGUAUGUAAAGCUCUAUCAGCAGGGAAGAAAAAAAUGACGGUACCUGAGUAAGAAGCACCGGCUAAAUACGUGCCAGCAGCCGCGGUAAUACGUACGGUGCAAGCGUUAUCCGGAUUUACUGGGUGUAAAGGGAGCGCAGGCGGCGCGUUAAGCCUGGUGUGAAAGCCCGCGGCCCAACCGCGGGACUGCAUAGGGAACUGG